GACGAACGCUGGCGGCGUGCCUAACACAUGCAAGUCGAACGGUGAAGCGCCUUCCUUUUUGGUGGGUGUGGAUGAGUGGCGAACGGGUGAGUAACACGUGAGUAACCUGCCCCCUUCUUCUGGAUAACCGCAUGAAAGUGUGGCUAAUACGGGAUAUUCUGGGUCUGUCGCAUGAUGGGUCUGGGAAAGAUAUUGUUUCGGUGGGGGAUGGGCUCGCGGCCUAUCAGCUUGUUGGUGGGGUGAUGGCCUACCAAGGCGGUGACGGGUAGCCGGCCUGAGAGGGUGGACGGUCACACUGGGACUGAGACACGGACCAGACUACUACGGGAGGCAGCAGUGGGGAAUAUUGCACAAUGGGCGCAAGCAUGAUGCAGCGACGCCGCGGGAGGGAUGGAGGCCUUCGGGUUGUGAACCUCUUUCGCCAGUGAAGCAGGCCUGCCUCGUUUGUGGGUGGGUUGACGGUAGCUGGAUAAGAAGCGCCGGCUAACUACGUG
rnacentral:rRNA from 1 species